rnacentral:rRNA from 1 species
AAUACCUUAUAAUAUAUGACUCUGGCAUCAGAGACAUAUCAAAGAUUUAUCGGUUAAAGAGGGGUAUGCGUGACAUUAGCUAGUUGGUGAGGUAACGGCCCACCAAGGCUACGAUGUCUAGGGGUUCUGAGAGGAUGAUCCCCCACACUGGUACUGAGACACGGACCAGACUCCUACGGGAGGCAGCAGUGAGGAAUAUUGCGCAAUGGAGGAAACUCUGACGCAGCCAUGCCGCGUGAAGGAAUGAAUGCCCUAUGGGUUGUAAACUUCUUUUAUAUGGGAAGAAAUAUAGAUACGUGUAUUUAUUUGACGGUACCAUACGAAUAAGGACCGGCUAACUCCGUGCCAGCAGCCGCGGUAAUACGGAGGGUCCAAGCGUUAUCCGGAUUCAUUGGGUUUAAAGGGUUCGUAGGCGGAUAGAUAAGUCAGUGGUGAAAUCCCGAAGCUCAACUUCGGAACUGCCAUUGAAACUGUUUAUCUUGAAUUUAGUUGAAGUGGGCGGAAUAUGACAUGUAGCGGUGAAAUGCAUA